rnacentral:rRNA from 1 species
UGGAAGGGAGGAAGUCGUAACAAGGUUUCCGUAGGUGAACCUGCGGAAGGAUCAUUGUCGAAGCCUGCACAACGCAGAACGACCCGCGAACAUGUUUUUAACACCGGCAGGUCGGGGGUACGCGAGAGCGCAACUUCUCCCUGUCCCCUGGUCCGUU